rnacentral:rRNA from 1 species
AGCGUGCGUAGGCGGCCAAUUAAGUCAAAUGUGAAAUCCCCGAGCUUAACUUGGGAAUUGCAUUCGAUACUGGUUGGCUAGAGUAUGGGAGAGGAUGGUAGAAUUCCAGGUGUAGCGGUGAAAUGCGUAGAGAUCUGGAGGAAUACCGAUGGCGAAGGCAGCCAUCUGGCCUAAUACUGACGCUGAGGUACGAAAGCAUGGGGAGCAAACAGGAUUAGAUACCCUGGUAGUCCAUGCCGUAAACGAUGUCUACUAGCCGUUGGGGCCCUUGAGGCUUUAGUGGCGCAGCUAACGCGAUAAGUAGACCGCCUGGGGAGUACGGUCGCAAGACUAAAACUCAAAUGAAUUGACGGGGGCCCGCACAAGCGGUGGAGCAUGUGGUUUAAUUCGAUGCAACGCGAAGAACCUUACCUGGCCUUGACAUACAGAGAACUUUCCAGAGAUGGAUUGGUGCCUUCGGGAACUCUGAUACAGGUGCUGCAUGGCUGUCGUCAGCUCGUGUCGUGAGAUGUUGGGUUAAGUCCCGCAACGAGCGCAACCCUUUUCCUUAUUUGCCAGCACUUCGGGUGGGAACUUUAAGGAUACUGCCAGUGACAAACUGGAGGAAGGCGGGGACGACGUCAAGUCAUCAUGGCCCUUACGGCCAGGGCUACACACGUGCUACAAUGGUCGGUACAAAGGGUUGCUACACAGCGAUGUGAUGCUAAUCUCAAAAAGCCGAUCGUAGUCCGGA